UUGGUAAAUUGUAAUAAUAAUGAAAAGCAGUUAUUGAAAAUUAAAUUGUUUUCAUAUUUGGAAAGGUGUGCUGAUUUUUUUGGUUUCUAGGUGGGAGGACAAUGAACUGUCAGCCUUUAGAAACCUACUCUCCAGAAAGUUAAUGUGGUCCUGCUGUAUAGUUCAGGCUGGCCCUGAACUCACUGUUUAGCCCAGGCUGGCCUCAAACUUGUGGCAGUCCUCCUACCUCAGCCUCUCAAGUGCUGGGAUCACAGCAGGAAAAACACUGAAGAGUAAAGGAAGACCUGAUAAAAUUAUCUAUGUAUAAUGAGAAUCUGCUCCAAAUAUUUGUUUCUUUGAGGUAAGGGCACCAAACUCCUGUUCAAUUAAAACCAUCCUUAGAAUUCAGAAUGAUUUUUUAUUUUUUAAAAUUUUAUUUAUUUUAUCUUAUUGAUACUGGGGGAUUGAACUUGGGACCUUGCAGUUGCGAGGCAGCUGGUGGCACCACUGAGCUAAAUGCCCGGCCCCCUAAUUUUUUAUUUUUUGCCUGCCCUGGCCAGAGAACCACACUUUGUGAGAAUCCAUGGCAAAGAGCCUGAGCUGCAGGAACCUGUUCCCUAUGAAUUUAUGGCAUAAGAUGGGGUUGCUGUUCUGCCAUUUAGCACCUAAUUAGCAGCUAAGGUGUUCCAGGCCCUGCAGGGUCCCCCAGCUUAUGCCAUGAAUUCAUAGGGAACGGGUUCCUGCAGCUUGGGCUCCUUACCAUGGAUUCUCAGAAGUGUGGUUCUCUGGCCAGGGCAGGCUGGUGCUUCAGUUGAACCCAGGUACCUUUUUUUUUUUUUUGAUACCAGGGAUUGAACUCGGGUCCUUGAGUUUUUGAGGGAGGCGGUGGAAUGACUGAGCUAAAUACCCAGCCCAGGUACCUUUCUUUUUGGCUUCCUUAUGAUCAUUUUUCUCAAGUGCUUAAUAGUCCUGAUUUGCACAUUAAUUCUCUUGCCUGGUAUCUUGUUGUUAACUUGCUUGUUUAGGACAGUGCCAGCAGUAUGCUGGGUAACAUUGUAGACUGUUCCAGUUUUGCCAUGGUAGCAUUUAUUUGGCACUACUUUUUUUUUUUCUUUCUUGGUACCAGGGAUUGAACUUGGGACCUUUCGCUUGUGAGGCAGGUGGCAGCACCACUGAGCUAAAUCCCCAGCCCUGGCAUUCCUUUUUAAACUACCUAUUCCCUUGGUGUCUGCAUUAUCAUCCUUCUUGUAGAUGUCCAUAUAUGUGGCCAAGGGAACAAUCCCAUGUUUUCUAAAAGGCUUAGAGAACACAUACCAGGUUCCUCUCUUUCCCUUUGUGUUCAGAUUACUGGAAGAUGGCAAUUCUGGCUAAAAGGACACACUAUAAUGUUUUUAUGAACUUGCUUUUUUCUGUUUGAUGGUACUUGCCACCUUCACCAUGUUUUUGAUCACACCUCAGAAGGACAUGAAAGAGGAUUCACAGAACUACUUCAGAAAGUGAAAAGAUGGAGCCAGGGAUUUAACUCAGUGGUUCCACCUCCUGCUCCAGAAGCGCAAGGUCCUGAGUUCGAUCCCUGGUACAAAAAAAACAACCACACAGUGAAAAGAGCAAUGGAUGGGAUGAGUGUGUUCAAAGCAAGGGGA
rnacentral:lncRNA from 1 species